GACCAAUCGUGUGCUGCCACAUCA
rnacentral:siRNA from 1 species